UACGAAGGGGCUAGCGUUGCUCGGAAUCACUGGCGUAAAGCGCACGUAGGCGGCUUUCUAAGUCAGGGGUGAAAUCCCAGAGCUCAACUCUGGAACUGCCUUUGAUACUGGGUAUCUCGAGUAUGGAAGAGGUGAGUGGAAUUCCGAGUGUAGAGGUGAAAUUCGUAGAUAUUCGGAGGAACACCAGUGGCGAAGGCGGCUCACUGGUCCAUUACUGACGCUGAGGUGCGAAAGCGUGGGGAGCAAACAGGAUUAG
rnacentral:rRNA from 1 species